AGAUUGAACGCUGGCGGCAGGCCUAACACAUGCAAGUCGAGCGGUAGAGAGGUGCUUGCACCUCUUGAGAGCGGCGGACGGGUGAGUAAUGCCUAGGAAUCUGCCUAGUGGUGGGGGAUAACGUUCGGAAACGGACGCUAAUACCGCAUACGUCCUACGGGAGAAAGCGGGGGACCUUCGGGCCUCGCGCCAUUAGAUGAGCCUAGGUCGAUUAGCUAGUUGGUGAGUAUGGCUCACCGAGGCGACGACUCCGUAAGUGGUCUAGAGGAGGUAUGAUCAGUCAC
rnacentral:rRNA from 1 species